rnacentral:rRNA from 1 species
AAUUUGACCUGCCCAAUGAUUUUAUUUAAUGGCCGCAGUAUUCUUGACUGUGCAAAGGUAGCAUAAUCAUUAGUCUAUUAAUUGUGGACUUGUAUGAAUGGUUGGACGAGAUAUUAUCUGUCUCUAUUUAAUUAUUAGAAUUUAAAUUUUAAGUUAAAAUGCUUAAAUUUACUUAUUGGACGAGAAGACCCUAUUGAUCUUUAUUAUAAUUGAAUUAUUUAUUUUUAGUUUAUGUUUAUAUUUAGUUUAUUUGUUGUUUUGUUGGGGUGACAAGGAGAUAUAAUUAACUCUUUAUUUUUGAUUUCAUUUAUUUAUGUUUAUUUGACCUUUUAUUAUUGUUAUAAGAUAUAGAUACCUUAGGGAUAACAGCGUAAUUUUCUUUGAGAGUUCUUAUUGACAGGAAAGAUUGCGACCUCGAUGUUGGAUUAAGAUUAUAAUCAGGUGUAGAUGCUUGGUGUUAUAGGUCUGUUCGACCUUUAAAUUCUUACA